rnacentral:rRNA from 1 species
CCUACGGGAGGCAGCAGUGGGGAAUUUUCCGCAAUGGGCGAAAGCCUGACGGAGCAAUACCGCGUGAGGGAAGAAAGCCUACUGGGUUGUAAACCUCUUUUUUCAGGGAGGAAAAAAAUGACGUGUACCUGAAGAAUAAGCAUCGGCUAACUCCGUGCCAGCAGCCGCGGUAAGACGGAGGAUGCAAGUGUUAUCCGGAAUUACUGGGCGUAAAGCGUCUGUAGGUGGUUUAAUAAGUCAACUGUUAAAUCUUGAGGCUUAACUUCAAAACAGCAGUCGAAACUAUUAGACUAGAGUAUAGUAGGGGUAAAGGGAAUUUCCAGUGGAGCGGUGAAAUGCGUAGAUAUUGGAAAGAACACCGAUGGCGAAAGCACUUUACUGGGCUAUUACUAACACUCAGAGACGAAAGCUAGGGUAGCAAAUGGGAUUAGAUACCCCAGUAGUCCUAGCUGUAAACAAUGGAUACUAGAUGUUGAACAGAUCGACCUGUGCAGUAUUAAAGCUAACGCGUUAAGUAUCCCGCCUGGGAAGUAUGCUGCAAGAGUGAAACCUUAAAUGAAAUUUGACCGGNUGAAGAGUGCGAGACGACGACGAGGAGAGG